UACGGAGGGUGCGAGCGUUAAUCGGAAUCACUGGGCGUAAAGCGCGCGCAGGCGGCCGUCCAAGUCCCGCGUGAAAGCCCCGGGCUCAACCUGGGAACUGCGCGGGAUACUGGAGGGCUGGAGUGCGGGAGAGGGGUGUGGAAUUUCCGGUGUAGCAGUGAAAUGCGUAGAGAUCGGAAGGAACACCAGUGGCGAAGGCGGCACCCUGGACCGACACUGACGCUGAGGCGCGAAAGCGUGGGGAG
rnacentral:rRNA from 1 species